rnacentral:rRNA from 1 species
AUUGAACGCUGGCGGCAUGCUUUACACAUGCAAGUCGAACGGCAGCACGGGGGCAACCCUGGUGGCGAGUGGCGAACGGGUGAGUAACACAUCGGAACGUGCCCAGUGUGGGGAUAACCUAUCGAAAGUAGGCUAAUACCGCAUGAGCUCGGCAAGAGGAAAGCGGGGGACUCAGCGAUGGGCCUCGCGCGACUGGAGCGGCCGAUGUCCGAUUAGCUA